rnacentral:rRNA from 1 species
UACGUAGGGGGCAAGCGUUGUCCGGAAUUAUUGGGCGUAAAGCGCGCGCAGGCGGUCAUUUAAGUCUGGUGUAUAAACCAAGGGCUCAACCUUUGGACGCAUUGGAAACUGGGUGACUGGAGUGUAGGAGAGGAAAGUGGAAUUCCACGUGUAGCGGUGAAAUGCGUAGAUAUCAGGAGGAACACCUGCGGUGUAGACGGCUUUCUGGACCAUUGUUGACGCUGAGAUACGAAAGCGUGGGUAGCAAACAGG